GACGAACGCUGGCGGCGUGCCUAACACAUGCAAGUCGAGCGCUGAAGGCUGGUUCUUGUACCAACUGGAUGUGCCGCGCACGGGUGAGUAACGCGUGGGGAAUCUGCCUUUGAGCGGGGGACAACAUUUGGAAACGAAUGCUAAUACCGCAUAAAAACUUUAAACACAAGUUUUAAGUUUGAAAGAUGCAAUUGCAUCACUCAAAGAUGAUCCCGCGUUGUAUUAGCUAGUUGGUGAGGUAAAGGCUCACCAAGGCGAUGAUACAUAGUCGACCUGAGCGGGUGGUCGGCCGCAUUGGGACUGGGACACGGCCCAAACGCCUACGGGAGGCAGCAGUAGGGAAACGUCGGCAAGGGGCGAAAGUCUGACCGAGCAAGGCCGCGGGAGUGAAGAAGGUUUUCGGAUCGGAAAACUCGGUUGGUAGAGAAGAACGUUGGUGAGAGUGGAAAGCUCAUCAAGUGACGGUAACUACCCAGAAAGGGACGGCUAACUACGUG
rnacentral:rRNA from 1 species